UACGUAGGGGGCAAGCGUUGUCCGGAUUUAUUGGGCGUAAAGAGCGUGUAGGCGGCCAGGUAGGUCAGCUGUGAAAACUCGAGGCUCAACCUCGAGACGUCGGUUGAAACCACCUGGCUAGAGUCCGGAAGAGGAGAGUGGAAUUCCUGGUGUAGCGGUGGAAUGCGCAGAUAUCAGGAGGAACACCAGUGGCGAAGGCGGGUCUCUGGGCCGAUACUGACGCUGAGGAGCGAAAGCGUGGGGAGCGAACAGG
rnacentral:rRNA from 1 species